GCGGAGGAAAAGAAACCAACUGGGAUUGCCUCAGUAACGGCGAGUGAAGCGGCAACAGCUCAAAUUUGAAAUCUGGCGCCUUGGGCGUCCGAGUUGUAAUUUGUAGAGGGAGUCUCGGGUUAAGGGUCGGUCCAAGUGCCUUGGAACAGGAUACCGAAGAGGGUGAGAGUCCCGUAUCCGGCCGACGCCAGCGCCCGUGUGAGGCCCCUUCGACGAGUCGAGUUGUUUGGGAAUGCAGCUCUAAAUGGGUGGUAAAUUCCAUCUAAAGCUAAAUACUGGCCAGAGACCGAUAGCGCACAAGUAGAGUGAUCGAAAGAUGAAAAGCACUUUGAAAAGAGAGUCAAACAGUACGUGAAAUUGUUGAAAGGGAAGCGUAUGUGGGCAGACUUGGACGCUGGAUUCAGGCCGCCUUCUGGCGGGUGCAUUUUCCAGCGGACAGGCCAGCAUCGGUUCUGAGGGCCGGACAAAGACGAAGGGAAUGUGGCUCCUCUCUGGGGAGUGUUAUAGCCCGGCGUGCAAUGCGGCCACUUGGGACCGAGGACCGCGCA
rnacentral:rRNA from 1 species